rnacentral:rRNA from 1 species
GACGAACGCUGGCGGCGUGCUUAACACAUGCAAGUCGAACGGUAAGGCCCUUCGGGGUACACGAGUGGCGAACGGGUGAGUAACACGUGGGUGAUCUGCCCUGCACUUCGGGAUAAGCCUGGGAAACUGGGUCUAAUACCGGAUAGGACUCCUGGCUUCAUGGUUGGGGGUGGAAAGCUUUUGCGGUGUGGGAUGGGCCCGCGGCCUAUCAGCGUGUUGGUGGGGUAAUGGCCUACCAAGGCGACGACGGGUAGACGGCCUGAGAGGGUGACCGGUCACACGGGGACUGAGAUACGGCCCAGACUCCUACGGGAGGCAGCAGUGGGGAAUAUUGCACAAUGGGCGCAAGCCUGAUGCAGCGACGCCGCGUGAGGGAUGACGGCCUUCGGGUUGUAAACCUCUUUCAGCUAUGACGAAGCGCAAGUGACGGUAGUAGCAGAAGAAGGACCGGCCAACUACGUGCCAGCCGCCGCGGUAA